GUUAUAUAGUCAAGUGAUUAAGCGUACACGGUGGAUGCCUUGGCAGCCAGAGGCGAUGAAGGACGUUGUAGCUUG
rnacentral:rRNA from 1 species